rnacentral:rRNA from 1 species
AAUGAACGUUGGCGGCGUGGAUUAGGCAUGCAAGUCGCGCGAGAACCCGCAAGGGGGACAGCGGCAAACGGGGUAGGAAUAGUCGGUGACGUACCCUCGGGACGGGGAUAGCCACGGGAAACUGUGAGUAAUACCCGAUGACCUGGAGAGACGUGGUGGUUUCACUAGCAAAGGUGUGAUUCCGCCCGAGGAGCGGCUGACUUCGUAUUAGCUAGUUGGUGAGGUAACGGCUCACCAAGGCUUCGAUGCGUAGGGGGUGUGAGAGCACGACCCCCACCACUGGGACUGAGAUACUGCCCAGACACCUACGGGUGGCUGCAGUCGAGAAUCUUCGGCAAUGGGCGCAAGCCUGACCGAGCGACGCCGCGUGGAGGAUGAAGGCCCUUGGGUUGUAAA